AUAAAUAAAUAGUUGGUUUUCCCAGUGAGACUCCCACGGAGAAAACUGAAUUUUCAUUUGCAAGUGGUUAUCAAUUGGAGAUAGCUUCUUGGUUAGGGAUGGGAUCAUGUGCCCACCUCUCCUUUCAGUUCUAGGACUCCAUCUGAUACAGACCAGGAAAGGCCCUGUGUAUGCUACCUCUCUGUCUCUGUGAGUUCAUAUGUGUAGCUGUCCUGUUGUAUUCAGAAGGCCUUCUUUUCUUGGUGUCCUCCAUUCCCUCUGGACAAUCUAUUCUUCCCACCCCUUUUUCUUUAGGAUUCCCUGAGCCCUGAGGGGAAGGAAUUGUUGGAGACAUCCCACUUAGGGCUGGGUGUUUCAAGGUCUCUCACUUCCUGCAUAUUAUAUGGCUGUCUUUUUCUCUGUUCCUACCUGCUGCAGAAGGAAGCUUGUUUGGUCAUGGCGGAUCAAGGCACUGAUGCAUAAGUAUAACAGAAUUUCAUUAGGAGUACUUCAUUGUUAUGCCCCUUUAGUAGAACAGUAGUAUUUAGUUUUACCCUAGGUCCUUGGGCUAUCUAGUCACUGGUUCUUGGACACCCAAGCAGGAUCUGAUAUGGGUUCCAUCUGGUGGUGUGACACAAGUCACACCAAUAAAAUCAGACAUUGGUUGGUUACUCCCACAAGCUUUGUGCUACCAUUGCUCUAGCACAUCUUUCAGGCAAGCCACCAUUGUAGAUUGAAGGGUUUGUAGCUUGGUUGCAUUUAUGUUUCUCCUUCGAUAGUGUGCAGAGUACCUUCUGGGUACCAAGAACACUAGUUUCUAGGGGUCAACGGCUCUAGGUAGACAGCAGCUCAACUUUUUCAUGUUCAGUGAGUUGUGUAGGUGUUGUCUACAGCAAUAGGGCUUUGCCAUGGGCUUGUGGAAAACAACCUAUAGCCUUGGCUAUAGCCUAAUUUGCUUGGAGGCUCCCAUGGGACCCCUUUGGCCAACAACUCAAUUAGAUAUAGCCCAUUCCUUAUACUGGAAGCUUCAUUUGGUGACAAGAGAUGUGCAGUUGGGGCUCUGACUCUCCCAUUAUUUGGUGAUUUCAUUUAAAUUGCCUUCAUAUAUGUAUAUAUUUUAGGAUGCUUCUACUGUAUUAGGUUUCCAUACUAUUCCUCAAAUGACCCUUAAUUUUAGGUGUGUCUCCCUAUAUCCCCUCUUUAGUCACUCUUCCCUCUCUCGCUCUCCUCUUGGUCUUCCCAUUCAGGCCCCCUUCCUCCCACCAGCAUCAUCCAUCCAUCCUUCCAUAACUCUCUGUUUUAUUUCUCUUUCCUAGGGAGAUCUAUCUAUACACCUAGUUCCUUACUCUAUACUUAACAUCUGUGGUUCUACAGAUUAUAGCUUGCUUAUCCUUAACUGCUAAUAUCUACACAGAAGCAAAUAUAUAUCAUAUUUGUCUUUCUGGGUCUGAUGAUUUUUUUUCUAGUUCCAUCCAUUUACCUGCCAAUUUUAUGAUUUAAUUUUCUAAUGUCCAAGUAAUAAUCCAUUAGGUAAAUGUACCAUAUUUUUUUCAAUCAUUCAUAUGUUGAGGGACAUCUAGAUUGUUUCCUGUUUCUGGCUAUUAUGAAUAGAAUAGCAAUGAACAGGGUUGAACAAGUGUCUGUGCUAGGAUGAUGCACCCUUUGAGUAUACACCCAAGAAUACUAAAGUUAGAUCUUGAGGUAGAUUGAUUCCCAUUGUUCUGAGGAACCACUAUACUUUCCAUAAUAGCUGUACAAGUUUGUAGUCCCACCAGCGGUGGUCAAGUAUUCAACUUUACUCCACAGCAUCACCACCAUGAACUAUCACUUGUUUUAUUGAACUUGGCCAUUCUGACAGGCAUAUGAUGAAAUUUCAAAGUAGUUUUGAUUUGCACUUUUUUUGAUGACUAAGGAUGUUGAACAUUUCAUUAACAGUUUCUUGCCAUUUGACUUUCCUCUUUUGGGAAUUCUCUGUUUAGGGGAAUGUACUUCCCCUUUUUAGUUGGGUUAAUUGAUAACUUGAUAUUCAUUUUUUUCAGUUUCUUAUAUAUUUUUGAUAUUAGCUCUCUAUUGGAUGUGUAUUGCUUUAAAACAAACAAACAAACAAAAACCUUCACAGUCUGUAGUCUGCCAUUUCGUCUGAAUGAUGAAGUCCUUUGUCAUGCAAAAGCAUGAAGUCCCAUUUAUUGAUUGUUGAUCUUAGUGCCUAUACUAAUGGUAUUCUGUUCAGAAAGUAUUUUUCUAUGCCAAUGCAUUCAAGGCUAUUCCUCACUUUGUCUUCUAACAGGUUCAGUAUGUCUGGCUUUAUGUUGUGGUCUUUAAUCCACUUGGACUUGAGCUUUGUGCAGGGUGCUAAAUAUUUGUAUUCUAUUUGUAUUCUUCUACAUGCAGACAUCCACUUAGACCAGCACCAUUUGUUGAAGAUGCUUUCUUUUUUCCAUUAUGUAUUUCUGUCUUCUUUAUCCAAAAAUCAUGUGGCCAUAGGUAUGUGAAUUUAUGUCUGGGUCUUCAUUUUGAUUCCAUUGAUUGACAUGAUUGGUUCUGUGCCAAUACCAUGCUGUUUUUAUUACUAUAUCUCUGUAGUAUGAUUUGAUCUUGGGGGUGGUAAUUUCUCCAGCAGUUAUUUUAUUAUUUGGGAUUUAUUUUAGCUCUCUUUGUUUUUUGUUUUUGUUUUUGUUUUGUGUAUAUGUGUGUGUAUGUUUCCAUAUGGAGUUAAAAAUUGUCCUUUCAAAAUCUGUGAAGAAUUGUGUUGGUAUUUUGAUGGGGAUUGCGUUGAAUCUAUAGAUUAAUUUGAUGAGUUGGCCAUUUUUACUAUAUUAAUCCUACUGAUGUGAGCAUGGGAGAUCUUCCCAUCUUCGGAUAUCUUCCUCAAUGUUUUAAAGUUUUUAACAUACAAGUCUUUCACUUUCUUGGUUAGAGUUACCCCAAGAUAUUUUAUAAUUUUUGAACUAUUAUGAAUGGUGUUGUUUUCCUGAUUUCUUUCUCAAUCUGCCAUUGGUAUAUAGGAAGGUUACUGAUUUUUAUGAGUAAAUCUUGUAUCCGGCUACUUUGCUAAAAGUAUUUAUCAAAUGCAGGAGUUUCCCCAUGGACUUGUAGGGUUACUAUCAUAUCAUCUACAAAUAAAGGUAGUUUGACUUUUCUCUUUCCAAUUUGUUUCCCCUUACUCUCUCUCAGUUGUCUUGCUGCUCUAGCUAGGACUUCAAGUACUAUAUUGAAUAGGUAUGGAGAAAGUGAACUUGUCUUGCUCCUGAUUUUAGUGGAAUGGCUUUGGGUUUUCAUUUAGAUUGAUGUUGGCUAUGGGCUGGUUGUAAACUACCUUUAUUAUAUUGUAAUAUGUUCCUUAUAUCCAUAAUCUCUCCAGGACUUUUAGUGUGAAGGGAUGUUGGAUUUUGUCAAAGAACUUUUGUGCAUCCAAUCACAUGAUCACACAGUUUUGUCUUUCAGUUUGUGUAUAUGGCAGAUUACAUUUACAGAUUUAUAUAUGUUGAACCAUUCUUGCAAUUCUAAGGUGAAGUCUACUUGGUAGAUAAUUUUUUAAAAAGAACUAUUUAUUUAUUAUAGACAAAUAUAUAUGGGGUAUACUGUAGCUCAGACACACCAGAAGAGGGCAUCAGAUCUCAUUACAGAUAAUUGUAAGCCACCAUCUGGUUGCUGGGAAUUGAAUUCAUGACUUCUGGAAGAACAGUCAGUGCUCUUAAACGCUGAGCCAUCUUUCCAGCACACACACACACACACACACACACACACACAUACACACACACACGCCCCUUGUAGAUGAUCUUUUUGAUGCUCUUGGAUUCAGCUUGCAAGUAUUUUAUUGAGUAUAUUUGCAUCUAUGUUCAUAAGAGAAAUUGGUCUGUAAUUCUCUUUCUGUAUGUUUUACGUGGUGUAGGUAUCAGGGUAACUGUGGUCUCACAAAAUGAACUGGGCAAUGUUCCUUCAGUUUCUAUUUUGUAGAACAAUUUGAGGAAUAUUGGCAUUAACUCUUUGAAAAUCUGAUACAAUUCUGCACUAAAACCAUCUGACCUUGAGGGUUUUGUUUGUUGGAUUAUUUGGAGCGGGUUCUUUUUCUUUUCUUUUCUUGUCUUGUCUUUUCUUUUCUUUUCUUUUUUUGGGGGCAGACUUGUAAUGACCUCUUCAGUUUCACUAGGAGUUAUAGAUCUAUUUAAAUUGUUUAUCUGAUCUUGAUUUAACUUUGAUGUGUUCUGUAUUUUUUUUUAAUUAUUACUACAUUUAAUUUUUACAGACCAGUCAUUGCCCCCCUCCCGGUCUACCCUCCUACAGUUCCUCGUCCCAUUCCUCCUUCCCACUGCACCCUCCCUCCCUCCCUCCCCCACCCCACUCCAAGAGAAUGCCCCACCCCCAUCCCACUCCCUUGGGCCUCAUGUCUCUUGAGGGUUAGGCGAAUCUUCUCCCACUGAGGCUAGACCAGGUAGUCUUCUGAUGGAUAUGUGUCAGGGGCCUCAGACCAGCUCAUGUAUGCUGUCUGGUUGGUGGCUCAGUGUCUGAGAGAUCUCAGGGGGUCCAAGUUAGUUGAGACUGCUGGUCUGCCUAUGGGAUCACUCUCUUCCUCAGCUUCUUACAGCCUUCCUCUAAUUCAACCACAGGGGUCUUCAACUUCAGUCCAAUGAAUGGGUGUAAUUAUCUGCAUCUGUCUCAGUCAGCUGCUUGUUGGGUCUCUCAGAGCACGGCUAUGCUAGGCUCCUGUCUAUAAGCAUACUAUAGCAUCAGUAAUAGUGUCAGGUCUUGGAGCCUCCCCUUGAGAUGGAUCCCAAGUUGGUCCUGUCACUGGACGUCUUUUCCCUCAGUCUCUUCUCCAAUUUUGUCCCUGAAGUUCUUUUAGACAGGUUUUGUUCCUAAGGUCCAUUUGCUUGGAAUCUCUUUUUUCAAUCUUUUACUCUCGGGUGAUAUCUAUUCUUGAUGUUAAGGUGUAUAUCUUGGGUACAGUAGAGGAUUGAUCCUGUUUCUGCAUCCAUUCUGUUAGCCUCUGUCUUUUUUAUUGGGGAAUUGAGACCAUUGAUGUUGACAGAUAUUAGUGAGCAGUACAUGUUGAUUCCUGUUAUUUUGUUUUUGUGCUGUGUGUCCAUGUGUGUUUAUGUCUUUUCCCCUGACCUUUCUUAGAUUUAACUUUUUUUUUUUUAACUAAAGUAUCCAUUCUUCUAUCAUGUCUUCAGUGACUGAGAUUCCCUCUUGUAGUCUGUUACCUAGGCUUGCCUCUAAGGUUCCUUUUCUGGUCCUAAAUUUUUCACUUUUAGAUUUCACUCAGUUUGGUUUUUCUUUAUUGAUUCUACUUUCAGGUCUUAACUGUUUUACUCAUUCCCUUCCACUGCUUGUUUUUGAUUUAUAGAUUUCUUUAAGGGUCUCCCACUGGUCCUUGUGGUCUAUUAGAAAAUGACAAUUACCAAUUCCUUUCUCCAUCAAAGAGCUGAGUAUUGGUAGAGGGACAAAUUAGACAAAUCACUUUACAGAGGAAAAUUAUUUGAUAAAAGUUCAGGGACAUUUCAGAUUACUAGACAAAAUUGGGAAUCAGAACUUGGAAACAGCCACAGACUUGAGGAAAUGCCUGUAAACUAAGAUAAAUAAUAUGAAGGGGUUUUACACAGUUGGUAGAGAUAAAUCUGAAACCUAGGGAAAAAUAAUGUACUUACAACUAUUACAGGUAUAUACAUAUAGAGAGACAUAGAUACAUGAUGAAAAUUGUACCAGGGGGCUGGCGAGAUGGCUCAGCAGGUAGGGGCACUGACUGCUCUUCUAAAGGUCCUGAGUUCAAAUCCCAGCAACCACAUGGUGGCUCACAACCACCCGUAUUGAGAUCUGACACCCUCUUCUGGUGUCUGAAGACAGCAACAUUGUAUUUAUUUAUAAUAAAUAAAUAAAUCUUUUUUUAAAAAAGGAAAGAAUUUUAAAAAAUAAAAUAAAAAUAAAUUAGAAAAAAGAAAAUUGUACCAGGAAGAUAAAGGAAAGCCACUCAGCAUGGGAAGAGAAAGAGAGCUGCUCAGAGCUGUGGUCAAUAGCUAAAGAUUAUUUUUCUAUUUCUGAAUGUUUUCCCCACUUUACUUGACAGAUCCACUGGAGCAUAGUGCAAUAAUAGAAUCGUCAAGACUGCUCUUCCUGGGCUGCAGUCAAAGAACUCUUGUUCUCCGUUGCUGUGGGAUUUUCUAGAGUUUAUCAAUGUAAGGGAGUUUUCUUCUAUCCCUAGGCCACUGUAAGUGUUUACUCAAAAUUCCCAUUGGAUGCCAGCAAAGCUUUUUCAUCUUUUCAUUGGAAUGUUCAUUGUUAAAAAUCUCUAACUAUAGUGAUGUUCCUUUGCUGAAGGUCUUUUAGUUCACGUAUAGCUUUGUUCCAUUUGGUCAAGGUGCUGUUAUCUUGGUGAACUUCUGGGUGUUAUUUGGUAACAUUAAAUAGGAUUUUUAUAUAAAUAUUAAAAGAUAGGGCUUAUCUGUUUCUCCUCCUCCUCUUCUUCCUCCUCCUCCUCCUCCUCUUCUUUUGAGACAAGGUCUCAGAAUGUGACCCUGUCUGGCCUGGAAUGUGAUAUAUAGACCAGGCUGAACUCAAAGAGAUGCAUCUGCUUCUGCCUUCAGAGUACUGGGUUAAAAGAUGUGACCCACCAAGCAAAGCAAUGUCUAUGCUCCCUGAUGUCUUCAACAACAGAAUUUUGGUUUUUGUGUGUGCUCAUGUGUGUUUGCAAAUUGCUAUCUUAGAAAUCUAAAAAGUAGCCAGGCAGUGGUGGCGCACGCCUUUAAUGCCAGCACUUGGGAGGCAGAGGCAGGCGGAUUUCUGAGUUGAAGGCCAGCCUGGUCUACAGAGUGAGUUCCAGGACAGCCAGGGCUGCACAGAGAAACCCU
rnacentral:lncRNA from 1 species